UAUGAGGUUUUUGUUAUGCUUCAUCGUCAUUCUUUUUUGGAUUUGAGUACCCUACAGUGGAGUUGGUUAUUGAGUAAGAUUAUUUUGUGGCGGUGUUGAUUUUGGUUUUUGUUAUCAUGUUCAGGCGCUUUAUUAAGUUUUGGUAGUUUUGUUAGCUCUUAUGGAAGCUUGGAGGCUUGUGGUAUAUGGUUUUGGUUAAGGUUUCUAUCAUGGUGUUUGUGUGUGUGUGUGUGUGUGUGUUUUCCAAGGCUUUUAUGGUGUUGUAAGCAUUGUAUGGUGUUCUUUUCCUUCCU
rnacentral:lncRNA from 1 species